rnacentral:tRNA from 1 species
GCGUCAUGAGUCAUGUGGUCGAGACGCCGCCCUGUCACGGCGGAUAGAGGGGUUCGAUUCCCCUAUGACGCGCCA